UACGGAGGGGGUUAGCGUUGUUCGGAAUUACUGGGCGUAAAGCGCGCGUAGGCGGAUUGGAAAGUUGGGGGUGAAAUCCCAGGGCUCAACCCUGGAACUGCCUCCAAAACUCUUGGUCUUGAGUUCGAGAGAGGUGAGUGGAAUUCCGAGUGUAGAGGUGAAAUUCGUAGAUAUUCGGAGGAACACCAGUGGCGAAGGCGGCUCACUGGCUCGAUACUGACGCUGAGGUGCGAAAGUGUGGGGAGCAAACAGGAUUAGAUACCCUGGUAGUCCACACCGUAAACGAUGAAUGCCAGUCGUCGGGUAGCAUGCUAUUCGGUGACACACCUAACGGAUUAAGCAUUCCGCCUGGGGAGUACGGUCGCAAGAUUAAAACUCAAAGGAAUUGACGGA
rnacentral:rRNA from 1 species